AUACGGCGAAACUGCGAAUGGCUCAUUAAAUCAGUUAUCGUUUACUUGAUAGCCCCUUACUACUUGGAUAACCGUGGUAAUUCUAGAGCUAAUACAUGCUGAAAACCCCGACUUCGGAAGGGAUGUAUUUAUUAGAUUAAAAACCAAUGCCCCUCGGGGCUCACUGGUGAUUCAUGAUAACUUCUCGAAUCGCACGGCCUUGCGCCGGCGAUGGCUCAUUCAAAUUUCUGCCCUAUCAACUUUCGACGGCUGGAUCUGGGCCCGCCAUGGUGACAACGGGUAACGGAGGGUUAGGGCUCGGCCCCGGAGAAGGAGCCUGAGAAACGGCUACUACAUCCAAGGAAGGCAGCAGGCGCGCAAAUUACCCAAUCCCGACUCGGGGAGGUAGUGACAAUAAAUACUGAUACAGGGCUCUUUUGGGUCUUGUAAUUGGAAUGAGUACAAUUUAAUUCCCUUAACGAGGAACAAUUGGAGGGCAAGUCUGGUGCCAGCAGCCGCGGUAAUUCCAGCUCCAAUAGCGUAUAUUAAAGUUGUUGCAGUUAAAAAGCUCGUAGUUGAACCUUGGGCCUGGCUGGCCGGUCCGCCUCACCGCGUGCACUGGUCCGGCCGGGUCUUUCCCUCUGGGGAGCCGCAUGCCCUUCACUGGGCGUGUCGGGGAACCAGGACAUUUACUUUGAAAAAAUUAGAGUGUUCAAAGCAGGCUUAUGCUCGAAUACAUUAGCAUGGAAUAAUAGAAUAGGACGCGCGGUUCUAUUUUGUUGGUUUCUAGGACCGCCGUAAUGAUUAAUAGGGACAGUCGGGGGCAUCAGUAUUCAAUAGUCAGAGGUGAAAUUCUUGGAUCUAUUGAAGACUAACUACUGCGAAAGCAUUUGCCAAGGAUGUUUUCAUUAAUCAGGAACGAAAGUUAGGGGAUCGAAGACGAUCAGAUACCGUCGUAGUCUUAACCAUAAACUAUGCCGACUAGGGAUCGGACGAUGUUAUUUUUUGACUCGUUCGGCACCUUACACGAAAGUACAAGUUUCUGGG
rnacentral:rRNA from 2 species